rnacentral:lncRNA from 1 species
CCUGUCUCAAAGGAAGAAAGAAAGAAAGAAAGAAAGAAAGAAAGAAAGAAAGAAAGAAAGAAAGAAAGAAAGGAAGGAAGGAAGGAAGGAAGGAAGGAAGGAAGAAAGAAAGAAAAGGAAACAGAGUCGAAUCAUGAGGCAGAGACCGUUUGAGGCCAGCCUGAUCUACAGAGCAAGUUCCUGGACAGGCUCCAAAGCUACAGAGAAACCCUGUCUCAAAAAAGCAAAACAAAACAAAACAAAAAACCUCGGGAGGCAGAUACUGAGGUAAAAACCUGAUUGAUCGAAGAAGUAGAGGAGAAGCGACCAAUGACCCCCUCUCCUUCCCCAAUCUAAAAGGGCUGCAAUUCUUUCAAGCUCCUCCCUACUACUUCCUAUGUCUCUCUAUAUGUAUCCUGGAGCCUCCAAAAUCUCUAUGUCUAAUUCUGAUCAGCCAGUUUCUAACUCUGCCCCUGAAUCAAAUUUAAACUUUAAUGGUAGUCUCAGAGUGUCAGUAUGAGCAAAUAUCCUGCAAUAUUUCCCCUUCUUUUGUCUAAAUAAAAAGGAAAGGUUUUAACUCUAACAUAGUAAAACUAUAUACAAUAAGAACAAUUG